ensembl:lncRNA
CAGGUUGUAAAAAAAAAAAUGAAAUGAAAUGUGUGCAAUAUAAAUUAACAGUACAGUUAAUUAAAGCCAACCAAUUACAAAAUAAAAAAUAACAAAACAAUAUUUAAAUAAAUGUACAUGAAAUAAAAAUAAGGCAGAAAUGAGGUAUGGGAAAUGUGCAAGACUGAGCAGGUUGUAAAAAAAAUAAGCAGCCAGAGAAUCCCUCUGGGAUCUUUUUUUCUUUUUAGAUCUUUCUUUUUUAGAUCUCUUUUUUUUCAGAUCUCUUUUUUUUUUUUUUAGAUCUUUUUUUAGUUUUUUUCAGGGUAGAUGGAUGAGGUAGGAUGGAGUGGGAGGUGAAGGAAGGUGUUCUUACAGGUGUCCAGUCUCAGGCACGUUGAUGUUGACGUCCUGGAUGGUCUGCUUUUUCUUCUCUCUCCUAUUUCUUUAUCUCCUUGUCCUGCAGCUUAUGCCUCAUUUUUGUCCAUCUCCGUCUGCCGGUCUUUUUUUUUUUUUUAAGUACUGGCAGAUGUUUUCAAGGACUGUUUUGUUGUCCUCUAAUUCUUGGAUCCUGCUGAUAAGGAUCUGUUGUUCUUUGGGGAUGGUAUCCUCCGUUUGUUGGAUCUUAGCGAUCAGGCACAACGCAGUGAAACCACUGCUUGUGACCAUCUCGUGGUGGGUAACCUCUUGGCAGGUUGUAAAAAAAAAAUGAAAUGAAAUGUGUGCAAUAUAAAUUAACAGUACAGUUAAUUAAAGCCGACCAAUUAAAAAAUAAAAAAU